CCUGGGGGUCUCUGCCUGUGUUGAGCUGAGCCAGAGUCUGGCAGUCCCCGGCCAAGGCCUGCAAUCCCCAAGACCCCAUGAGGCAGGAGCUGUCCGACAAGGCCUCACUGCCCACGGCGGGGUCAGGAGGAAGUUCUUGAGGGCCGGGAGGUCCACUUCCGUUCCUCCACGCAACAUUUCUUGGGGAUGCACUUCCUCCAUAUGGACAAUAAGAGGAAGAAGAAGCUAGCCUAGGUCCCAUUAGAUUCUGAGAACACUGAUGGAACUGCAGGACAGGAAGGCUUCUGUCCCGUCAGGGGACACGUCAGGAGGCACUCUCCCUCAAGGAGGAAGAUUAGGGCCAACGCAGGAGGGGACAAGAAGAAGGAAAGUAAACCCAAGGGGAGCUUUAGGAGAUGAGGAGUUUCCUCAAAAGCUCGCCAGAGCAGGAGAACUGUAACUUGAGAGGGAGACUGCCUGGAAAGGUGCACAGUCUUGCAUUCCUCUGAGCCGCUGAAGCCACCAGUCAGACUGCGAGCUGAGCAUCCGGGAGAGCUGUGGCACACGCCGCCUUCAUGGGAAGC